UACGUAGGGGGCAAGCGUUAUCCGGAUUUACUGGGUGUAAAGGGAGCGUAGGCGGCAAGGCAAGUCUGAUGUGAAAACCCGGGGCUCAACCCCGGGACUGCAUUGGAAACUGCUUAGCUAGAGUGUCGGAGAGGUAAGUGGAAUUCCUAGUGUAGCGGUGAAAUGCGUAGAUAUUAGGAGGAACACCAGUGGCGAAGUCGACUUACUGGACGAUAACUGACGCUGAGGCUCGAAAGCGUGGGGAGCAAACAGGAUUAGAUACCCUGGUAGUCCACGCUGUAAACGAUGAAUACUAGGUGUCGGGUGGCAAAGCCAUUCGGUGCCGCAGCUAACGCAAUAAGUAUUCCACCUGGGGAGUACGUUCGCAAGAAUGAA
rnacentral:rRNA from 1 species